rnacentral:rRNA from 1 species
GAUGAACGCUGGCGGCGUGCCUAAUACAUGCAAGUCGAGCGAACGGACGAGAAGCUUGCUUCUCUGAUGUUAGCGGCGGACGGGUGAGUAACACGUGGAUAACCUACCUAUAAGACUGGGAUAACUUCGGGAAACCGUAGCUAAUACCGGAUAAUAUUUUGAACCGCAUGGUUCAAAAGUGAAAGACGGUCUUGCUGUCACUUAUAGAUUGAUCCGCGCUGCAUUAGCUAGUUGGUAAGGUAACGGCUUACCAAGGCAACGAUGCAUAGCCGACCUGAGAGGGUGAUCGGCAACACUGGAACUGAGACACGGUCCAGACUCCUACGGGAGGCAGCAGUAGGGAAUCUUCCGCAAUGGGCGAAAGCCUGACGGAGAAACGCCGCGUGAGUGAUGAAGGUCUUCGGAUCGUAAAACUCUGUUAUUAGGGAAGAACAUAUGUGUAAGUAACUGUGCACAUCUUGACGGUACCUAAUCAGAAAGCCACGGCUAACUACGUG